rnacentral:rRNA from 1 species
GACGAACGCUGGCGGCGUGCUUAACACAUGCAAGUCGAACGCAGUGGCGGACUGGUGAGUAACGCGUAAUCAACCUGCCCUUCAGAGGGGGACAACAGUUGGAAACGACUGCUAAUACCGCAUACUGUAGGAGGCGAUUGCGUCUGAUUAGCUAUUUGGAGGGGUAACGGCCCACCAAGGCGAAGAUCGGUAGGCGGUGUGAGAGGAGGAAUGGGAAAAUUGGGAACUAGAAAAGGGCCAGACUGCUAAGGGAGGGAGGAGGGGGGAAACGUCCGGAAUGGACGAAAGUCUGACGGAGCAAAUCCGCGGUGGGUAUGGAGGCUUUCGGGUUGUAAAGAUCUGUUAAUCGGGACGCGGUACCGGAAUAGAAAGCCACGGCUAACUACGUGCCAGCAGCCGCGGUAAUAC